rnacentral:lncRNA from 1 species
CAAAGGAUUAUAAAUCAUUCUACUAUAAAGGCACAUGCACACAUAUGCUUAUUGCAGCACUGUUCACAAUAUCAAAGACUUGGAACCAACCCAAAUGCCCAUCAAUGAUAGACUGGAUAAAGAAAAUGUGGCACAUAUAUACCAUGGAAUACUAUGCAGCCAUAUAAUAGGAUGAAGUCACGUCCUUUGCAGGGACAUGGAUGAAGCUGUAAACCAUCAUUCUCAGCAAACUACCACAUGAACAGAAAACCAAACACCGCAUAUUCUCACUCAUAAGUGGGAGCUGAAUAAUGAGAACACAUAGACACAGGGAGGGGAACAUUAUGCAUCGGGGCCUUUAAGAGGGUUGGGGGCUAGGGGAGGGAUAGCAUUAGGAGAAAUACCUAAUGUGGAUGAUGAGAUGACGGGCUGAUGGGUGCAGCAAACCACCAUGGCAUAUGUAUACCUAUGUAACAAACCUGCAUGUUCUGCACAUGUAUCCCAGAACUUAAAGUGAAAGAAAGAAAGAGGAAAGAAAGAAAGAAGAAAGUAAAGAAAAGAAAGAAAGAAAGAAAGAAAAAGAAAGAAAGAAAGAAAGAAAGAAAGAAAGAAAGAAAGAAAGAAAGAAAGAAAACAAAAACAAAAUACCACGAAUUUAUCAUCUUAUAAUGAUGUUGUUUAGAAGUUUGAUGUGGGUCUCACUGCACUCAAAUCAAGGGCUCUAUUCUGAAGCACUACAAGAGGAAACAGACUGGAACGACAAAGCUGAAUAGAGAGACCUAUGGAAGACAGAGAACUACAGAAAUCUAUUCUUUAUAUAUAAGUUAAGGCAAAACAAAUAUAUCAAUUUUACUAAAGCUUUUCAAUACUUAGACCCUGACAUGUGUAAAUGUGAAUAAACAUAUAUAUACAUACAAAUAUGCACCUUUAAAAUAAAAUAAGAGUGUAACUUGGUGAUGAGAAAAAAGAGAAGCAGUAAUAGCCAAAGUGUGGACUCGGAAGGGAAGAAGAAUGAGGUGGAGGCUUUCUUUCUUUUUCUGGCCUCAAGUUUCCAUAUGGAGAGACUUCAUACUGUAGAAAUAUCUAUCUACUACCAAUUUGAGAUCCUCCCCCAAAUCCUUACUCACUCCUUCCUAGGGGAAGAAUCAUGGUUUAUCUGAUUCAUCAUCACACUUUAGAGUUAUUGAACUUUACCACUGAUUAACAAAUUAAUCUGGUGAGCAAAUAAUCAGAGUAAAAUGAUACAACAUUUAAUUAGAUGUAAACUACAAGGCAUCUGGUGUCACCUAGGAAAGAAACAGGUGUCAGUGGUGACAUAUUUCAACCCUAUUGCACAAAUUCAGCAAGAGAACACCCACAAUCCACAUGUUACUGUGUUUGCCACACCUACGUUAUUAUGGGAAUCAGGAAAUCUGGAGUGACUGGCACUAAGAUAUUAAAUAGAAAUCUGGAAGUUACUAUCAUUUAUAUUGUCUUCCUAUGGAAUUCUCAUAUGUGCAGGUAAGUGUCCCAAAGGGAAGAAAAUUGUGCUUGGUUUGAUGGCUAUAAUUGACAUUGCAUAGGGUGAUCUACUCAAAAGACAAUGCAAAUUCAAUACCAAUAAGUUGAGUAAUAGGGUAAAAGGACAAACCAAAAGCUUGUACAUUUUUAUUGUUCUUACUGGAUGUAUGUACUUAUGUACAUGUAUGAAUAUGAAAAUAUUAUAAGUAGAGAUACUUUAAAAUGUGUAUCAAUGUGUGCACAUUCAUAUUUAUAAGAUCUAUAAUAUACAAGUAUAUAUUAUAUAUACUAUAUAUAAGUAUAUAUUUAUAUAUUAUGUAAGUAUAUAUUAUAUAUUAUAAGUAUAUAUAAUAUAUAGCUAUACAUAAUAUAUACUUAUUAUAUUAUAUAUUUUAUAUAUUUAUAUAAUAUCUUUGCCAUAAAAAAUACAUUAUGGAAAAUUUGAAACACAUACAAAAGUAGAGACAAUGGUAUAAUGAAUACCCCAUGUACCGAUAACCCAGGUCAACAAUUAUCUUCUCAUUGCUAAUUUAUUUCUUUUGUACCCCUACCCAUUUUCCCCUUUCCCCUUCCUGAUUAUUUCAAAACAAAUCCCAGACAUGAUAUUAUAUCAUCUGUAAGUAUUCUAGUGUUUGUUUCUAAAAGGCAAGAACCCCACUUUUAAAUAUAACCACAACACCAUCAUUACAUUUCACCCCCUACCUUUCAUUAUGUGAAGUCAACAAUAAUUCCUCAAUAUCACUAAAUAGCCAGUCAGGGUUCAAACUUCAGUUGUCAUACAAACGUUGUUGCUUUUUAAUAGUUCAUCUGCAUUGGAAUUGAAUUGAAUUGAAAUAGAAAAAGUUCCAGAUCUGAGGUUGGCUAAAGGUCUCUUAAGAGCCUUUUACUCUACAAGUUCCCUUUCACCUUUUUAUUUUUCUUGAAGUUUUUUGUUUGUUUAUUUUUGGUUGUUGUUGAGGGAAACAGGUUGCUUGUCCUGUAGUGUUUCUCAUGUCCUGGAAUUUAAUAUUGCAUACUCUUAGUCUCAUCCAAUGUGUUUCUCUCUUAUGAACUGACACUUAUCUAUAGGUUUAAUCAAAUUAAAAGUCAAUAUUUUGGCAUGACUUUAUUAUAGAAGGUAUUGUUUACUUCUAUCAGGAACUGAAUCAUAUCUACUUGUCUUUCUUUUUUAAUGUUAGCAGCUAUUGAUAUUUAUUUUCUGGGUCUAUUCAUUUAGUAUGGGAUAUAAAAUGAUUACACAUCUUCUUCAUUUGGUAACAAAAACUUUCCCUCAUCAAAUUGUUUGUUUACCUUAUGAUACAAUUUGUAUGUGAAUAAAUACUUACUUCCCUUUAUCAUUUUUUAAAAUAGCAAAUUGGUGGUGACCAAUUUUUUCCUUCUGAAUAAAAUCAUUAAUUCAUAAAUUUAAGUAUAUUUGAUAUACUUUAGUCUGCAAAAGUUAUUAUCUUUGUUGACAUUAAUAUUGCCCCAUCUUUGCAUAAUGAGAGCUUACUAUUGUUGGUUCCAGGGUCUUUUUGACGUAAAUCUAGCAGUCAUUGAUAGCUUUAUAUUUUAUUACAAUAAGAUAGUCCAAGCUUGUCCUGUAUUUCCUAACUCAGAGCUAGUAUUGCCUAUCUUUCAAAAUAUUCUUCAUUCCUUUUUUAUGGAAAUGGUAUUUACAGACCAAAAUCUAGGCCCUCAUCACUACUGGGUCAAUCUUUUGUCUAAGAUUUUUUGUGGAUUCAGUUAGAUAGUACAUGUUAAUUUAAAUACUAAUACAUGCAAAUAAAAUUAAGAACUACAGGGUUUUGACUUAACCUUAACCAUCUUGUAUUACCUUUCUUCACAUCAAAACUUCUAGUAUUCAAGGAAGCUAAAAUAAUCACUCAAUAGCUUUAUUUAUUUAUAUUAUAUAUAACACUCAUAACAGGCCUAAAACUCCCUUUAAUAAUAUGAUUGCUGAAAAACAGUUUAAGAUUUGUUUACAACUGUGUGUACUUGGGGAUGUACUCUCAAAUUACUGUGUUUUAGUCAUUUGGAAUAGUUUCUAUCUUGGUUCCACCAGCUGGGUACACAGAUUCAUUUUGAUACAUUUUGCCUUGAUGUUUAGGGCUUACUUUUAAGUUUCAAUUUUAUUUUAUAAAUAUGUAAAAUAUGUAUGUGGUUCUAAAAUCAAAUCCAUAAAACAACUUAUAUUCAUAAAAGUUUUACCUCUAUUUUUGUCUUUUCCAUAUAACUCUCUCCCUAUUUAGAUAACUCUGUUACAUCAUUACUACUUUGUAAUUAAGACACACACAUAGGCAUAUACAGGCAUUAACUAGCAGCAUACUAUAUGAUCUGGUUUGGCUGUGUCCCCACCAGAAUCUCAUCUUGAAUUUCCAUGUGUUGUGGGAGGGACCUGGUGGGAGGUAAUUGAAUCAUGGGGACAGGUAUUUCCCAGGCUGUUCUCAUGAUAGUGAAUAAGUCUUACAAGAUUUGAUGGUUUUAAAAGCAGGAGUUUCCCUGCGCAAGCUCUCUCUUUGCCUGCUGCCAUCCAUGUAGAUGUGACUUGCUCUACCUUGCCUUCUGCCAUGAUUGUGGGGCCUCCUCAGUCAUGUGGAACUGUUAAGUCCAUUAAACCUCUUUUUCUUCCCAAUCUCGGGUAUGUACUUAUCAGCAGUGUGAAAAUGGACUAAUACACUCUACAUACUUUUUCACCUUCCUUUCUGAUUUAACUACAUAUUCCUGAGAUUAUUCUAUAGUAAUAUAUAGAUAUAUUAACCUUUUCUAUGAUAGGUACAUAGAUUUCUAUUGUGUUGAUAUACCACAGUUUCUUCAAUCUAUCCUUCACUGUUAUUUGAACUUUGUUUACAGACAUAAAAGAUAUAUUCUAGUCCUUAAAAAAAAGCUAUAUUUGGCAGGGUGUGGUGGCUCCACCUGCAAUCCCAGCAGUUUGGGAGGCUGAGGCGGGUGGUUCACCUGAGGUUAGGAGUUCAAGACCAGCCUGGCCUACAUGGUGAAAUCCUGUAGUAAAAAUACAAAAAAAUUAGCUGGGCAUGGUGGCGGAUGCCUGUUAUCCCAGCUACUUGGGAGGCUGAAGCAGGAGAAUCGCUUGAACCUGGGAGGCAGAGGUUGCAGUGAGCUGCGAUCCCACCACUGCAUGCCAGCCUGGUCAACAGAGCAAGACUGUGUCUCAAAAAAAAAAAAAAAGAAAAAAGAAAAAAUAUAUAUUCAAGCCCCGGUACUUGUAAAUGUGACCUUAUUUGUAAAUAGGGUUUUUGCAGAUAUAAUCAAGUUAAGAUGAGGUCAUCCUCCUAUGUUAGUUAGGCCCUAAUUCAAUAUUUUGGUGAUCUUAUAAGAAGAGGAGAGAAGCCAACAGGGAGAAGAUAGCCAUGUGAGACAGAGACAGAGAUUGGAGACAAGAACUGCCAAGGACUGUCAGAAACCAGAAGAGGCAAGGAAAGAUUCCUUCCUACAGGUUUCAGAGGGAGUAUGGCCCUAUUGAUAGCCUGAUUUUAGAUUUCCAGCAUUCAGAACUGGGACACAAUUUUUUGUUUGUUUGUUUUUUUAAACCACAUAGUUUUUUACACCAUAGUUAUUACUUUUUUACAGCAAUCCUGGGAAACUAAUAUACUUACUGAUUGCCAUUUUGGUAGUUUCUAGUCUUCUGCUCUUGGAAACAAUGCUGUGAUGAAAAUCUUUGUAAAUACAUCAUUUUAUAUAUUUUUUCCAGAGUACUUUGCAGUGGAGUUUUGGAAAUGAGAUUGCUGGUCAAAGGGUAAAUACAUAGGUAGUUUUGGAAGACAGUCUCAAAUUCCCUUCUAUACGGGUUUUAUUAUUUUGCUUCGUGAGCAAUAAUUUUCAAUGUGCCUAUUUCCUUACACUUAAAAUUUUGCCCAUCUGAUAGGUGAAAAAUUAUUUUUCAAUAUAGUUUUAAUUUUAAUUAUCUCUUAUUGGUAAGGCUGACUGUAUUUUCAUAUGGUUAACAGCCAUUUGAUUUCUUCUGGUCGGGGUACUAUCUGUUCAUAUAUUUAGCCCAUUUUUCUAUGAAGGUAAGUCCCCCUUCCCAUCUAGAGUUAUUUUUAUAUUGGAAUUAUUAAUUAUUUGAGAUAUGUUAAAUACCCCAGUUCGUUUUUUGUCUUUUUAUUUGCUUAUGAUGUUUUUUCAUUUAUUUAUUGCCAUCCUUAAGACAUUUUAAAGUCUUUAUUUCUUGAAUUCACCAGUGAUAUAUAAUCAGUUCAUGGAGAAAAGAUACUUUUAUUAAGAAUAAAGCUAACAUAGAGGACUUUUUAGACGGUCUUCCAGAUUUUUUUAUAAUGUAAUGGUAUAUUAUUGGUUUUAUGCUUAAAGUUGAUUUUGAGGAAUUCUGACACAAUUCUAAGUUGCAUGGCUUAUAGCACUCAGAAAGAUAAAGGAAUCUUUGCUUGAAUUAACACUUUCUCAUCAGCCUUUGGUGUAUGGAUAGAAAGUACCAGAUUAUCUAUUAGUAAGAAACGAAUCAGCACUUACACAUUUGAAAAAUACAUUCACUGUUUAAAAUUUACUCAGUUGACAUUUAAAUAUGCCACACAUAUUCUUUAGCAAUUCAACUUUUAUCAAACACUAAACAUUUAUUGUCUGUUGCCUAUGAACAUGUGUCUUCUUCCAAGUGAAUUUAUCAUCUAAAACUGGUCUAUUUUACCCAGAUCCUACAAGUAAUUAUCUCUACAAGCUUCAGCAAAUGCGCUUUUAGUUCCUGUCUGUGUAAGAUGAGGUGGCUAGAAUAAAAUAUUCUAAAGCUCAUUUCAACUCUAAAAUAUAUUAAUCUGCUUCUGUAGUAAGGAUCUCACAUUUCUUAGGAAACCCUUGAAUAGAUCUUAUCUCUUUUCAUUUAGACAAAAUUAAUUUCAGCACCUCUUGGUUGAUAGAUACAAAAAUGGAACUUCACAUAGUUCCAUUCCCUUUCUGCCAUGCAGAGUGAAUGGCCUGAGAACACAUUUAUAACUGAGAGGUAGGGGAGCAGGCUGACUCACCUGCAGGGCCUUGACUUCUGUAGAUACCCAGCUCCUUCAGGAAGCGCUGAGGAGUGCUCUCAUCCUCCCUCCAGGAGGGAAGGAAGACAGGCAAGAGGAGGAGAGGAGGUUCACCAGAUUCCUCCUAAGCUGACAUUGUCCCUGAUAAUUUCUAUGGCCCAAUUUGGAGCCUCAGCUUCAGUAAAUUCUGACAACUCAGGAUAAAAGGACCCCACCACGUUGUGCUCCCCUAUGACCUAUUCUUUUCUUUCAUGCAAGUUAUAUUUAAAAACCAUGUAUUUUAUGUUUGUUUAUGUGUUUACUGCUUGCCUUUGGGACAAGAUUGUAAGCUCUCUAAGGACAGGGAUCAGAUAUUGUUUUAUUUUAAACAAAUGCAUAUGUAAUUAAUUUUAUAUUUUAAAUUUAUUGUUAUUGCAUUUUCCAUUUGAAUUUAUUAUUUAAUAAUUUUAAUAAAUUGUAAUAAUGAAUGUGAUUGUAGCUAAUUCUCAUUAUUUGGGGAUUCCCUAUUUGUGAGUUUACCUAUUCACUAAGAUUUAUUUGUAACAUCCAAAUCAAUACUCCCAAUGCUUAGUAGUCAUUGCUGGACAUACCAUGUGCAGAAUGGGGAAAAGCAAAGUGGCCUGAUGUGCACAUUCCUGGUUGAGGGUCCCAGCUGAGGUUGAACAAGAUGACAUUCUCUUAUUAUUUCAGGUCUCAUACUGUAAACAAGUGUACUUUCUGUGAUCUAUUUAAUGCUACAUUUUUCACAUUUUUGUGUUUUAUUAUUGAUAGUUUUCUUGCUUAAAAUGGCCCUCAGGCAUAGUGCUGAAGUGCUAUCUAGUGUCCUCAAGCACAGGAAGCCUAUGACGUGCCUUACAGAGAAAGCACUCAUGUUAAUAAGCUCCUUUCAGGCAUGAGUUCUGUGUGGUUGGCUGUGAGUUCAAUAUUAAUGAAUAGACAAUAUAUGUUUUGCAUGGUGUCUUUAAACAGAAACAUAAAACAUACAACAAGCAACAAGGCUAUGUAUUGAUUAUUUGAUUAAAACGUUGUGACAAGAGGCUCCCAGGAACCCAACCCUGUAUUUCCUCUCCGUGACAAUGAUUCAGUAUGUGCUAAUUCAGUAUUCACAGAGACUCUAUAGAACAUAACUACUUCAAAUAAUGAAAAUUAACUGUGUUUAAUUUUUAUUUUUCUUUUAAAUGAAUGAAUAUCAAUGUAAUAAAUAUUUAUACCUGUCAUAUAGUUGGUUACUAAUAAAUGUUUAUCAAAUGAACAAUUAAAUGAAUGUUGAUUGUGAUCAGAACCGUGAUCUUGAUAAAAGGGUU